rnacentral:rRNA from 1 species
GUUUGAUCAUGGCUCAGAUUGAACGCUGGCGGAAUGCUUUACACAUGCAAGUCGAACGGUAGAGGGGGCAACCCCUUGAGAGUGGCGAACGGGUGAGUAAUAUAUCGGAACGUGCCCAGUCGUGGGGGAUAACGUAGUGAAAAUUACGCUAAUACCGCAUACGAUCUACGGAUGAAAGCGGGGGAUCGCAAGACCUCGCGCGACUGGAGCGGCCGAUAUCAGAUUAGGUAGUUGGUAGGGUAAAGGCCUACCAAGCCAACGAUCUGUAGCUGGUCUGAGAGGACGACCAGCCACACUGGAACUGAGACACGGUCCAGACUCCUACGGGAGGCAGCAGUGGGGAAUUUUGGACAAUGGGCGAAAGCCUGAUCCAGCCAUUCCGCGUGCAGGAUGAAGGCCCUCGGGUUGUAAACUGCUUUUGUACAGAACGAAAAGGUCUCUAUUAAUACUGGGGGCUCAUGACGGUACUGUAAGAAUAAGCACCGGCUAACUACGUGCCAGCAGCCGCGGUAAUACGUAGGGUGCAAGCGUUAAUCGGAAUUACUGGGCGUAAAGCGUGCGCAGGCGGUUAUAUAAGUCAGAUGUGAAAUCCCCGGGCUCAACCUGGGAACUGCAUUUGAGACUGUAUAGCUAGAGUACGGUAGAGGGGGAUGGAAUUCCGCGUGUAGCAGUGAAAUGCGUAGAUAUGCGGAGGAACACCCGAUGGCGAAGGCAAUCCCCUGGACCUGUACUGACGCUCAUGCACGAAAGCGUGGGGAGCAAACAGGAUUAGAUACCCUGGUAGUCCACGCCCUAACGAUGUCAACUGGGUUGUUGGGUCUUAACUGACUCAGUAACGCAGCUACGCGUGAAGUUGACGCCUGGGGAGUACGGCCGCCAGGUGAAACUCAAGGAAUUGACGGGACCCGCACAAGCGG